rnacentral:piRNA from 1 species
CGGGAAUCAGAGAUUCCAGGUGGAGAUGAA